AUCACUUAUGUAUAUCACAAACAACAGCGGUCCCAACACGGAUCCCUGUGGAACACCACUGGUCACAAUUCUCCAUUUUGAGAAACUCCCUUCCACUACAACCCUCUGUCCCCUGUUGUCCAGCCAGUUCUCUAUCCAUCCAGCUAGUACACUCUGGACCCCAUGCGACUUCACUUUCUCCAUCAGCCUACCAUGGGAAACCUUAUCAAACGCCUUACUGAAGUCCAUGUAUAUGACAUCUACAGCCCUUCCCUCAUCUAUCAACUUUGUCAUUUCCUCAAAGAAUUCUGUCAAGUUGAAGUUAUACUGAUUGCCACUCUUUUGUCAAAUGCCAUUGAAUAUUCCACCAACAAGCACCAGCAAAAGUUAUGGACUUUUCUCAUGUAAUGAAAGUCAUAAACUUGAUUUGAGCAAAGCCUUUCAGACUUCGUGAAAUUUCUUCACUUUCCUACACUCUCCGAGAGGGGAUCUCAUUGAAACCUGCAAAUCACUUAAAGCAAGCGAGGCAGGGUGGAUACAGGGAAGAUUUUAGCCCCUGCUUGUACAGGGCGUGUUGGGGAAAUGCCAUUUAGCACCGAGAUAAGGAAAACAAAUAACUUUUUAAAAAACUGCAAAUGCUGAAGAUCUGAAACAAAAGCAGAAAUUGUUGGAGAAACUUAACAGCUUCUGUAGAGAGAAAGCAGAGUUAAUAUUUCUGGUCCAGAAAUUCUUCAGAGCGGUCUCCGAGAUACCGAGAAUUUGUUCACUCAGAGGAAGGUCGGGGUUUUUGAGUAUAUUUAAAUUGGAGGUCGAUAGAUUUCUGGUUACCAAUUAUGUAAUUGGUUAUGGGGAUAAAGUGGGUAUAAGGUAUUGAUCUUGUAAGAUCUUUUUUAUUGAUCUCAUUUAAAAAAGUGAGACCAGUUGCGUCCUACUGUAUAGUCAAUGGGAAUUGGCUCUAACAGAUCCUCUGGGUUUCAGUGUUAGGUACAGAACAUGUUGCGACACAAAAUUGGCGAAUUGCAGAAUGACACCAAAAUUGGCAGAGUUGCAGAUAGUGAGGACGAUUGUCAAAGGAUACACUGGGAUAGAUCGAUUGCAGAUUUGGACUGAGAAAUAGCAGAUGGUUAGAAAAAUAAAGAAGUAAAACGCUCAGAAUAUGAGUCUUUCCGACCCAGUCCAUGCCACAACCUAGUCUCAAGGGAGACCUCCACUGCCUCACGCCACCUGUGCCAGAGUUGCCCCACUUAGGCACCAUCCGCUUGGGCCCACUUCACUGACGCUGCUGAAACCACACUCGCCCUGCAACCAAGAGUCCUUGGUUCUGCUGCCAGGCCAGGCUGCCACCGGGCCACGAGUCUGGCUUCAGUUGCAGAUGUUGCAUUUUCAGCACUGCCAUUUUGAAGAGUCCACUGUUGCCAGCACCACCGUCCCUGAUUGCUGGAGGAGCUUUGCUGCUGCUGCCACCAUCGGCCCCAACACUGGGAGGAGUGUGGGGAAAAGUUUUUCACAGAGGCCAUGAUGAGUGCCUGGAAUGUAUUGCCAGUGGAGGUGGUGGAAGCAGGCAUGUUGGUAAUGAUUAAGUCAUAUCUUGAUAUCGUGAACAUGAGGCGAACAGAGAGAUGGAUAUUGCAUAUGGGCAAUAAGUAGCGGGUCUAAGUAAGGACUAGGAAUCGACGCAGGCUUGGUGAGUUGAAGGGCCUGUUCCUGUGCUGUAUUGUAUUGUAUGUUUUAGCAGAGAAUAAGAAAAACACAAAUGCUGGAAAAAUGAAAGGAAGGACAGGUUGGAGCAGAACAAAAGGUAGCCAGUGCAGAGGCACAGCAACCAAACCAACCUCCACAUGAACAGACAAUGUCAAGGGAGGAGAUGGAUAACAGUGAGAAACAACCAGAAAAGAAAAAUACAUCAGGCCCCCAAAGCCCCACAGCAAACCGAAAUGAGGCAGCUGCCUAAUGACUACACCAGCAUCUCCUCUGAUGAUGAAGAUGUGUGGAGUGAUGGCCAUCAAUGAAAAAAAAACAGAGCAUGACAGUGGAAAAGGAGAGAAGCAUGCCCCAAGCUGGAAACUCCGGACUCCCUGCGGGGCCCAAUGAAGCCCAACCUCCAGCUGGUGAGAACUGGGGGUACCCACUGCACCACAACUACGUGCAAUGGGGAGCCACAACGCUCUGACAGCCCCUAUGUCAGACUCAGAACUGGACCCUCAUGGCUUCGUACUCGUCCCGACGACACCAGAGAAGGGCAACCCCUUCAGGGAGGAACAGGACAGCUACCUCAGCGAAGAGCGUCCAACAGUUUGUCCACACCACGUGGAUGUAGGAAGUCCCACUAUGACAAGACCGUGGGUGAAGGGACAUUGGGUAAUUCUAUAGACUUUUAAAAUGGGCAUUAAAAUUGCAAGUAUUAAUGUGCGCAGUGUUAGAUCUACUACACAAUGUUUUUCCAUGUUGGCUUACCUGGGAAACCUCAAAGCAGACUUCCUGUUUUUGCAGGAGUGUGGGAUACCACAUCUCAGCAGCUACAGGAGAUGGUCAAGCUUCAUCACCAAGGUUAAGGAAGUGGUGGGCCGGCAACCCCUCAUAGCAGAUGUUACAUACAGAAAUAUUCCCCUGAGAUUAAUUAAUGUGUACGCCCUGGUGUCACAAGGUGAGCGGCUGGCCAUCCUGCAGCAGCUCCCACUGCUGCUGGUGAUGUCCAGGCUGGUCAUUCUGGCUGGAGACUUCAACUGCAUCAUCAAUGUCGAAAGACGAUCUGGAGGGCUGACAGCAAACUGGACUCCACAUCCAGAUUCCUGAUGGAAACAGUUAAAGUCGUCAAGCUGCACGAUGUCUUUAGCACCCCUGUAGAUGGAGCACAACGUACAUACAUCUGGUCAUAGCCAGAUGGGUCUAUCUGCUCAAGGGUAGAUUUCCUGUUUGUGCUCCACACAUUCUCAGUCAGAUCCGCCAAUAUCAAGCUGGUGUUCUUCUCUGACUACUACUUCCGCUGGCUGACAGUCACAAAUACGAUGAACAGCAGGCUGGCAAGGGAAUGUGAAAGCUAAACAUUAAAUUGUUGACCCCAGUAAACACUGAGGAGUUCAAAAGAGAUUACACAGGUUGGGGAACCAUGAAGCCCCACUUUGAGUUUCCAGUGGAUUAGUGGGAGAUAGUCAAGGGGAACAUCAAGAGAUUCUUUAUCCUCAAAGGUGUUUAGAAGGUGAGAGGGAGGCAGGAAAAACUGUCAAAACUCCAGAAAACAUGCAGAACCUACUCCUGCUGCAGACAAUGGGGGUCAAUGUCAUGGAGGAUCUCCAGGAGGUUAAGAGCCAGCAAGCCUCAGAGCCUGUUUUCCUCAGAGGCCUCCAAAAUAAUCUUCCAGUCCAGGCUCCGCUCUGUGGAGCACGAUGACAUGUGCUUGUGUUCCUUCUUCCAGAAGGUGCACAAAGAGCUCUGUGCUCAGCAGCCUGAAGGAAGAUAGUGGCUCGGUAAUGUCAUCUCAGUCUGACCUGAGGAUCAGCAAAUCCUUUUAUGCCAGACUAUCUGAAGUGAAGCCCAAAGACAGUGUGGCCUCCCAGUCGCUCCUGUCCUCUAUCACAAAGGUCUGAGACGACAGCACUCGGGAGAGACUGGAGCAGUCGUUAUCUCUGGAGGAGCUGACCAAGGCCCUUGAGUCCUUAGAAAAGAAUAAAACUACCAGAAGCGAUAGCUUACAGGCUGAGUUGUAUUUGGCUCUGCAGGACUUGAUUGGUCAAGACUUGCUGGAGGUGUACAACAGUAUGAUUCUGUCAGGUACAAAUCCAUGAGGAAAGAUAUCAUCUCCCUCAUCUACAAGCGGAAGGGGGACAGGGAGGAAAUUGAAAAUUGGCGGCCAAUAUCAUUACUGAAUGCAGACUGCAAAAUCCUGUCUAAGGUCAUUGUCAACUGGGUCAGGUCUGCUCUUAGAUUCGUGAUUCACCCCAAACAAGCCUAUGCAGGAGAAGGCCUUUGACAGGAUAUUGCAUGUGUAAUGUGCUCUCUUAAAUGGGUUUUGGGGAGGGAAUCUGCAAUAGGAUCUGACUGCUCUAAACCAAAAUCAUUAGUGCAGUCUCAAUCAACGGGUGGCAAUCAGAAAACUUCCCAAUCAGAUCCGGAGUCAGACAGGGCUGCCCACUCUCUCCUGCCUUAUUUUUGUGUUGUAUAGAGCCCUUUGCUGAGUCAAUCAAGAAGGAUGUGAGCCUGAAUGGGUGACUAUUCCAGGCAGCGGAGUCCAGCAGGGCCUCCCUGUACAUGGAUGAUAUUGCAGUUUUCUGCUUGAAUCCGCUGUCAGUGCACUGAGUCAUGCACAUCUGCGACUAAUUCGAACUGACCUCGGGAGCCAAAGUAAACCGAAGCAAGAGCGAGGCUAUGUUAUUUGGGGACUGGGCCAACCGAUCCUUCAUUCCCUUCACCAUCAGGACAGAUUACCUGAAGGUGCUGGGAAUAUGGCUCAGAGGGGCUGGUGCGUGCACAAAAUCUUGGGAGGAGCGUAUCACCAAAAUGAAGCAGAAACUGGUCCUUGAAGAGGGAACACUUCUCCCUUUCCAAUGCAGGUAAAAACCUGGUCAUCAGGUGUGAGGCACUCUCUCUAUUGUGCCGAGUACAGGUCUGGCCAUCCCCCAAAACUGUGCUGUUUCAGUCACUCGAGGGAUCUUCCAUUUCAUCUGGAAGCCUAAGAUAGACCAGGUCUGCAGGGACUUUGUGUACAAAACUCUGGAUAAGGGGGAAAGCACAUAACCAGUGUUGCCCUCAUCCUGAUGGCCACCUUUGUGUGCGGCUGCAUCAAGUUGUGCGUAGACCCUCGGUAUGCAAACACCAAGUGUGAUGAAUAAUUAAGGUUCCACUUGUCUCCAGUGUUGUGAAGGAUGGGAUUGGCCUCACUCCCAUGGAACACUCCAAGCAGUCGGACCGUCCCAUAUCACCUAUCCUUUGUAGGGAAACUUGCAAAGAAAAACACCUUCUACCACAAGUCCAUCAGGAAGUGGUCAGCACGUAGCGUCUUUAGACCCUGAGGGAAAAGGAGAGGGUGGAACCUGUUGCGUAGUUCCCUAGGGAGACCGUCAAAGUCAUUUGUUAGAAUGCCUUAUCACCAGAAAUUUCCAACAAGCAUCAAGAUAUUGCUUGGCUGGUGAUGAAAAGGGCACUGUGAAAUCUUUCAUGCAUGCCCAGUCAGCUUGUGCCACCACACUCUGUCCUCAAAGUGGCUGCAGAGGGGUUGAGACUGAUGUUCCAGAAUGUGCCUUUGCAAAGGAUGUCUGCAGAAAGAUGUGGUUUUUGUCAGGGUUUGUCCCGAGCAGCUCCAUGACUCUGUGCUCUACGGUCCGUUCCCCGGGACAUGCACUGUUACAAACAUUGACUGCACCUGGAGAACCAUCAACUUGAUGAAAGAUGCUGUUUGGUUUGCCUGAACCUUGUUGCUCUUCCAGAACAAAGAGUUGACCCCAACUGAGUGUUGCACACUGGCAUAUUCCAAAGUCCAGGUCUAUGUGUUGAGGGACACACUGAAGCUUGGGGCAGCUGCCACCAAAGGACAGUGGGGAAAGACCACUGUCUGAGAUCUUUCUGCUGAAGGUAAAUGGGGGUCUGUGCCUCCCAGCACCUCAAAUGUAUGUAAAUAUUAGCUUUGUGUAAGAAAGGUCUUUGGCUUUUUUGGGAUAGAGUCAAAGUUCAAUGUUUAGUUUGUUUGCUUGAUAAGUAACCAUGCAGAAUUGAACUGCUUUUGUGUCAAUGAACAGAAAUAAAGAUUUUUUUAUGAAUAAAAUCUUUAUAAAUAAAGUAUAUUUUUGAAA